rnacentral:tRNA from 1 species
GUUGCGGUGGCCGAGGCGUUGGACUAGAAAUCUAAUGGGAUCUUCCCGCGCAGGUUCGAAUCCUGCCCGCAACG